GACUCCAUGGCUCAAUGGAUAUGGUGUUGGUCUACGAAACCAGAGAUUCUGGGUUCGAUCCCCAUAGAGUCG
rfam:Ipomoea nil DNA, scaffold: scaffold0268, cultivar: Tokyo-kokei standard.